GAAGGCAAAGUCCAAGAGAGAGAGAGAGAGAGAGAGAGAGAGAGAGAGAGAGAGAGAGAGAGAGAAAUAAUCAAUUCAAAAAGGCUCUGCUAGAUUCCCAGUCAACAUUCUCUGAGAAUAACAACAUAGUCAUUGCAGCUGUGUUUGCAUGAAUGAAUUUUUUUAGUAUGUAGUCAUUCAUGUAUCUGUUAAUUCAAUAUUAAGUGUGUCCAGUGAUGAAGGCUGUGUUACCUAGCUUGCUCUUUGUGGGUUUAAUCUGGAUGGCUAACACUGAGCUCCCUCAGAACGACAGAGACAGCAGAAGAGAGGAGGGAAGGGGAGGAGAGAGGAGAGGAGAAAACAGAAGGGGAAGGGAGAAGAACAGAGAGAGGGAGGAAUGGAGAGAGAGAGAGAGAGAGAGAGAGAGAGAGAGAGAGAGAGAGACCUGGAUUUUCAUACAGUUGUAGAUUGGGGUGUAAUAUCAAUAACUUUAAUGGAAGUGGAGCCUGUGCCCUGAUAGGAGCCCUGCUGCUCCUCAAAUAAAUGGCUUGGCUCCACCUCAGCAUUUAUCUGCCAGGACUCCGGCUUUAUCAGGGCACCAACUCAGAUUCCAUUAAUGUUAUCUCUUAAUUAGCUAUGUGAUUAACCUGUGUUACUCCUGUGCGAUAAUGAGUGGGAGACAGAACCAGGCAAGUUCAGCUGCCUUAUUACUCCCUCUUCAGAAGCCAAAUCAUCCUGGAGAACAUUCCAGGAAAGGGAAAAAAGAGAAAGAAAAAAAAAAAACCUCCAACAUCUGACUCGUUCUUCACUUGGAUGCAAAGACAAAUUCUGCCCUCUCUGGAGGAAGCUACUGAGACUCCAGCUAACAGUUAGGAUACUUAAGACUUCCUUCUAAUGCCUUCUACGAAUGAACUCCUUUCACAGUGGGGAGAGAAGGUGGGUCCUGUCAUUAUCUCCACUUCAAAGAGAGGGACAUUGAGAAGCAGAGAGGUCAAAUCUCGGCCCCAAGGUCACGCAGAUGGGAGAUGGCAGAGCCAGGAUCCAAAGAGAGGGAAGCUUGGCACCAGGCCAUCUGUCUCGCUGAGAUCCUGAGCUCAGGACUUCUCGGAUCUGUGACAUUGAACGCGCAGCCUGAGACAUUUCCUGACGCCCAGGGCCUCCUUCAUUUUCUCUUUCCCUGAUAGGAGCAGGGUAUAAUGCUGUGACUCAGUCCAGUGCAAUAUAAAGUGUAGAUGAGAGGACAGAUUCUCUCUCUCUCUCUCUCUCUCUCUCUCUCUCUCUCUCUCUCUCUCUCUCUCUCUCUCUCUCUCACACACACACACACACACACACACACACACACACACACAGUGCAAUGGCUAUCCAGAUAUUCCAUAUCUUGGAUUGCAAAGUCCUAGGCAGAAGGUGUGAUUCCUUAAUGGAUGGGUUUGCUUUGCAGUGCACUGUACUUAGGUGUGCCCUGCAUCGUCUCUUUAUGUGGAAUUUAAAAGUUAGAAAUAACCGCCUUUGGGGACCAUAUUUAGCGAACAGCGCUAUGAGAGAAAGACCUUUGAUGCUGGAGUUUUCUGUUUGAGGAAACACCUGGCCAUGCUGUCAGGAAGGGACCCAACUCCUGAGCAUCGCUCGAGCGCUGUCUACCUUUCCUGUGGUCCCCAGGCUGGACAAAAGGAGACCAAUUCUGUCUCUCAGUCUGCGGCCUAUAGCUCUUUGACAAACACAGAGAAGCUGUCUUGAUAGGAAUUAAAGGAGGAAGGAGAAGAAGGUAAAGGAGGAGGGGGAGACGGAGGAGAAGACCGUCUGUACCUAGUAAAGAAGACAGCAGACAUAGAAAUACUUGAGGUUCCGUUUUUAUUCCCCUUCAGCAGGGGCUUGAGGUAGAGAUGGAAGUUGACAUUUUUGAUCACACGGUCAGGACAGACCAAAUUUAUUCUUUUGUAGCUAAUGGAGAGUUUUGAAUAAGAAAAACGGUGCCUGUCUGACAUUACACAGGGCAUUAAACCCCACAAAUAUCUCUCUCUCUCUCUCUCUCUCUCUCUCUCUCUCUCUCUCUCUCUCUCUCUCUCUCACACACACACACACACACACACACACACACACAUAUGUGUGUGUGUGUUUUCCCAAAGACUCAAAGAAGAGUUUAUCAUCCAAGACUUGCUUUAUUUUCAAGUCUGCCUAGGUGAAGACAUUUUCUCCGAGAGCUCUGGUUUGUUUUUAAGGCAGCAUUAGUGACUAAUGGUGAGUCACUCUGUUUUGUGGCUUGGUACAGAACUUUCUAUUUAUUCAAGGGCUUAAAAUUCAACUUUGAGCAAUGUCCACAGCAGGGAAGAACAAUUAGUAAAUUCAUUUAUUGUGCUUUUGUGUACACUUUUAUUCUCAAGGCUAAUUAUUUGUUUAAAUUAUUUUUUGCUUCCAUCGACAGCGUUACCACGUAAAAACAUUUCAGCUAAGGUUUCUGGUAUGAAGCACAAGGCUCAGGUAGUUGACCCAUUUUUAUUAAAUGUCAUUAGCUUGAUUCGCUAAGGACCACACUUGUAGCAGAGCCUUUUUUUGGGGGGGGGGGUUCGAGACAGGGUUUCUCUGUGUAGCUUUGCGCCUUUCCUGGAACUCACUUGGUAGCCCAGGCUGGCCUCGAACUCAGAGAAAUUCACCUGGCUCUGCCUCCCGAGUGCUGGGAUUAAAGGCGUGGGCCACCACUGCCCGGCCGUAGCAGAGCCUUUUAUUUAACCAAAUGAGCAAUUAGUUUGUGGGAAUGUUAGGUGUACGAAGAAUAGUUAUUCAUGGUGCUGUUCCUCCUUUUCCCCAGUGUGGACCAUGGAGACCUUCUAUAUCUGAACUAUAAUGGAAUUCUGGUGUGCCAUACGGUGCACUGGUGUGGUUUUAUGCAAGGCAAUGCUCACCAAGCUGGUAUUCCAGUGCACAGAACCAAAGCGACGGCUUCUCAGUGCAUGCAGAGGGUCGCAAACCCGUCUCCUCUCUUAAUUCCCGAGUGUCUGGCCUGAAGCUGGAAAAUGAACCAGCUGCCGCUGGAGCAGAUCCCUCUCCGUGCACAGCUCCAGGUGUGGGACUUGAAAAGAUGGAUGACUUGGUGGAAGCACCGCCAGUCUCCUCCACCGGGCACAGGGAGGAGCAGCGGAACCCAGGGCAGCGGAACCCAGGGCAGCCAGAGCUCUCUUAGGCAGCAUCUUCCCAGUCUGGCUGGGUCUUCAGGGAGCCACACAGUCCAGAACGCCCGUCAGGAAAAGCAUGCCAUAGUUUCUACUCCAACUGAGAAAACAUUCCUGAAGCCACCAAGGGAAAACACAGAAGUCUGUGGCUCCAUCACAACUCUCCUGAUGAUAUCACAGGACAUUUUACAGCA